rnacentral:rRNA from 1 species
AGCGAACGCUGGCGGCAGGCCUAACACAUGCAAGUCGAACGAUCCUUCGGGAUAGUGGCGGACGGGUGAGUAACACGUGGGAACGUGCCCUUUGGUUCGGAGCAACUCAGGGAAACUUGAGCUAAUACCGAAUGUGCCCUUCGGGGGAAAGAUUUAUCGCCAUUGGAGCGGCCCGCGUCUGAUUAGCUAGUUGGUGAGGUAAAGGCUCACCAAGGCUACGAUCAGUAGCUGGUCUGAGAGGAUGAUCAGCCACAUUGGGACUGAGACACGGCCCAAACUCCUACGGGAGGCAGCAGUGGGGAAUCUUGCGCAAUGGGCGAAAGCCUGACGCAGCCAUGCCGCGUGAAUGAUGAAGGUCUUAGGAUUGUAAAAUUCUUUCACCGGGGACGACAAUGACGGUACCCGGAGAAGAAGCCCCGGCUAACUUCGUGCCAGCCGCCGCAGUAAGAC